AUAUUACUAAGCGGAGGAAAAGAAAUUAACGAAGAUUGCCCUAGUAGCGGCGAGCGAAGUGGCAAAAGCUCAAGUCAAAUCUGCAGCCUACGGCUGUCGAAUUGUAAUCUAAAGGUCAAAGCAAAAGGGGAGGCCGAGGCAUAAGUUGCUUGGAACAGCAGGCCAAAGAGGGUGAUAGUCCCGUAUUUGGCCUCAGCCGAACCGAAUGCAGAAACCAAAGAGUCGGGUUGUUUGGGAUUGCAGCCCUAAAUGGGAGAUAAACUUCUUCUAAGGCUAAAUAUCGAUGGGAAACCGAUAGCGAACAAGUACUGUGAAGGAAAGAUGAAAAGAACUUUGAAAAGAGGGUUAAAAGACUUGAAAUCGUUGAAGAGGAAGCGGUAGAAGUGGAUUACUUGGUUGUGAAGUAAAGGACGUGAGUAACCUCCGCAAGCAUAAUGCACGUAAAAGGCUAGUGUAGGCGGUUGGGAAUCUUGUCAAAAUUUCAUGAUCAAAAGGCAGAUCUGUAUCUAAGCGAUGGACUAAGUCUGUGGGAAGAUUCACCAUGGUCAAAACAUUGCUCUGGUAUGGCUUCUGCCAAAACGGCUUCUACUGA
rnacentral:rRNA from 1 species